CGAGAACGCUGGCGGCAGGCCUAACACAUGCAAGUCGAACGAGAUCUUCGGAUCUAGUGGCGGACGGGUGAGUAACGCGUGGGAAUAUGCCCUUUGGUACGGAAUAGCCUCGGGAAACUGAGAGUAAUACCGUAUGUGUCCUCUGAUCGUGGUGGUUGGAGGAGAAAGAUUUAUCGCCAAAGGAUUAGCCCGCGUUGGAUUAGAUAGUUGGUGGGGUAAUGGCCUACCAAGUCUACGAUCCAUAGCUGGUUUGAGAGGAUGAUCAGCCACACUGGGACUGAGACACGGCCCAGACUCCUACGGGAGGCAGCAGUGGGGAAUCUUAGACAAUGGGGGCAACCCUGAUCUAGCCAUGCCGCGUGAUCGAUGAAGGCCUUAGGGUUGUAAAGAUCUUUCAGUUGGGAAGAUAAUGACGGUACCAACAGAAGAAGCCCCGGCUAACUCCGUGCCAGCAGCCGCGGUAAUACGGAGGGGGCUAGCGUUAUUCGGAAUUACUGGGCGUAAAGCGCACGUAGGCGGACUGGAAAGUUAGAGGUG
rnacentral:rRNA from 1 species